rnacentral:lncRNA from 1 species
AUUGGAGUUCCACUAACAUCCUCUGGGUUUUACCCCUUCGAGUGGAUCAAUGAGUGUCCAUACACCGUUGAUUUUCAUGGACUCAAUUUCGGACUUUAUGGCUCCAAGCCACUAAUCGGAGUCAGACUUUUGCUUGGCAUCCAUGUAAGUGAUCAGAUCCUUAUUGUUCUCAUCGAGUUCAAUAAGAUUACAUCUUGGAACUAGAAACCGAAGUAUCUAUCCGACGGAUACGGUACUAUAUCGGAUCUCCUUAAUGGUGCCACUACAACGGGUUCCAGAUUUGAUCUAAUCAGAUUCAGUUCUAUAAGUU